UGGUUAAAAGCCGUAAACGGCCGCCCUAGCGGUGAGGGUGCUAAGGUAGCGAAAUUCCUUGCCUUUUAAUUGUAGGCCUGCAUGAAUGGCUUGACGAGGGCUUGACUGUCUCUAGUUUUGGAAUCUAAAUUGGAUUAAAGGUGAAGAUACCUUUAUAUAAAAGUUAGACAAGAAGACCCCGUGCAACUUUUAAAGUCAGCUUAUUAAGAAGUUCAAGAUUUUUAGGUGGGGCGCCUACUGAGUAAUAAUAACCUCUGUGUAAUAGUGAAACUUUCAAGUGUAGACCCGGCAAUGCCGAUCAUAGGAGAAGUUACGCCGGGGAUAACAGGCUAAUUCACUAGUAGAGAACGUAUUGGCUAGUGAGAUUGGCACCUCGAUGUUGAAUCAGGGAUGAUACCUUUAAGGCGUAGAAGCUUUAA
rnacentral:rRNA from 1 species